rnacentral:rRNA from 1 species
GAUGAACGCUGGCGGCGUGCCUAAUACAUGCAAGUCGAGCGAAUGGAUUAAGAGCUUGCUCUUAUGAAGUUAGCGGCGGACGGGUGAGUAACACGUGGGUAACCUGCCCAUAAGACUGGGAUAACUCCGGGAAACCGGGGCUAAUACCGGAAAACAUUUUGAACCGCAUGGUUAGAAAUUGAAAGGCGGCUUCGGCUGUUACUUAUGGAUGGACCCGCGUCGCAUUAGCUAGUUGGUGAGGUAACGGCUCACCAAGGCAACGAUGCGUAGCCGACCUGAGAGGGUGAUCGGCCACACUAGGACUGAGACACGGCCCAGACUCCUACGGGAGGCAGCAGUAGGGAAUCUUCCGCAAUGGACGAAAGUCUGACGGAGCAACGCCGCGUGAGUGAUGAAGGCUUUCGGGUCGUAAAACUCUGUUGUUAGGGAAGAACAAGUGCUAGUUGAAUAAGCUGGCACCUUGACGGUACCUAACCAGAAAGCCACGGCUAACUACGUGCCAGCCGCCGCAGUAA